rnacentral:misc_RNA from 1 species
GAUGAAGAACGUAGCUAAAUGCGAUAAGUAAUGUGAAUUGCAGAAUUCAGUGAAUCAUCGAAUCUUUGAACGCACAUUGCGCCCCUUGGUAUUCCGAGGGGCAUGCCUGUUCGAGCGUCAUUAUAACCCCUCAAGCUCAGCUUGGUGUUGGGGCCUGCUGCACUGGCAGCCCUUAAAAUCAGUGGCGGCGCCAUCUGGCUCUAAGCGUAGUAAUUCUUCUCGCUAUGGAGUCCUGGUGGAUGCUUGCCAUCAACCCCCAAUUUUUCUAUGGUUGACCUCGGAUCAGGUAGGGAUACCCGCUGAACUUAAGCAUAUCAAUAAGCGGAGGA